rnacentral:lncRNA from 1 species
UGUAGCAUUGGCUAGGUGUGCUGGUACAAAAAGGGAAGGGUCAGCUGCUGUAAGUGCCCUGGCAAGGUGGGACAGGGGGAGCAAGAGGGGCGAACUGUGUUCUGGCAGGACACAGAGGCUCCGAGGGAGAAUGUUCCAUUGAAGUCAUUCUCCUUAAAUGAGUGUAGUACUUCUCAGUCAUUGAAAAAAAAGGCUAUUGGAGUUGUGUCGAUGUGGAGUGCUGGUGUGGAUGGUGAUUCAGGGUGCGAGGUUCUGGAAGUGCUUUGAAGAAUCCUCUGGAUGAGCCAGUACCUGCAGUGACUGCAAAGAAGGUCUCGGGAUUUUGUGUCCCUCCACUUAGGUGGUGUGAGCGGUGAGCCACAAAGUUGCUGAUGCUUCAUGUACCCAAGGAGCAACCAAGAUCCAGGAUCACGGUGUCCGGCUGUCAGCAGAGAGCGGGGAGCAUUCACACAUGAACAAGUCUUCCUCUGAGAACUGGAAGCUGAAGCCUUCAUCAGAUAAAUGGCGUGCAUACAGGAGUAAGGAGCUGCCUGGAUCCAGAGGGCUGUGAGGACUGCAGCACAGAGCUGCCUGUGGAUACGUUUGCUGAGCCAUUUCAGGGGCAGGGAGGAGAGCUGAACUGAAUAAAAGCAGUCCCAUCUCUCAGAAGAACAUCUGGGUUUGAACAGUUUGGAACAGCCAGAGGUACCAGUAAAGGAGGCAGCGGCUGGCAGUGCCUCAUGGUUUCCUAACACCACUUCUCUGGGAUACAGGGACAAAUCUUGACAUUGUUCACCUUAAAACUCCACUGGUGCACAUGAAGAGUUUGAAAUCCAGAAGGAUCUAGACAUGGAGCUGCACGCUUGGUUCGUACAGGUCCCGCAGCGCUCGUUGCAGCACCCACUGGUGUUGGAGGUGCCCCAUGCAGCGGUAGUGGGGCAUUCCCACAGCCUGGAAACAAGCUGCAGCUCUCAUCACCACCAGCAUCUCAGCCACAUGAGAAACAGGCCCAAGACAUCAUGCAAACCUCUGCUCCGUCUGAUCCCGAUCCCGUCUCCUCUGUAACCCACGACGCGCUGCCGUGGGUGCAGCAUUACGGCCGCUCAUCGACCCUCUGCACGCCGGGCGCCUUCUUCCCUCUCCCCCG